GCCAUAUUUUCAUCAUUUCUUCUGUUAAUAUCGCCAUGUUUGCGUGAGCCGAAAUGAAGAAUAUUAGAAAAAUCUGACCCAACAACAGUCUGUCUGGUGCCAACAGCCGCGGUUAUUCCAGCUCCAAGUAGAAGUAGAAGAAAAAUACAAAGCUGGAUAAAAUUAUUUUGAAACCAACUAGUGGCAAAACAUUCAUCUCAGAGUUCCCUCACUCAGAUUCCGGGUUGAGCGCUUAUAUCGGAGAAAUUCUUACCAGCCUGCCGUUGCUGCAAGCACACCUCUGCUAUACUACGAACCGACCGAAGUCAAUCCUCGGACGGGACAAGCUCUAGGCUGCAUCCCAGCUACUUACCCUAUCUAUUGGGUUACAUGCUAUUUUAGAUGUUGUGCUCUAAGCAUAACAUCAUCAGUGUUUUAGGGCUAUAAAGAAGAACACCGACUGCUGCCGUUCAUGCCUUGAGCUCAACAAUCUGCACAAUGAAGAUCAUCAUAUUCUUUGUACUGGCUGGAUUCAGCCUCGCUCAGGAAGAAGAUCUCAAUUGUCCAGAAGAAAUAAUUCCUAAGGAAAAUGAAGAAUGCAUGACCGAAACUUUAGAG